ACGUAUGGGGCAAGCGUUAUCCGGAUUUACUGGGUGUAAAGGGAGCGUAGGCGGCAUGGCAAGUCAGAAGUGAAAGCCUGGGGCUCAACCCCGGAAUUGCUUUUGAAACUGUCAGGCUAGAGUGUCGGAGGGGUAAGCGGAAUUCCUAGUGUAGCGGUGAAAUGCGUAGAUAUUAGGAGGAACACCGGUGGCGAAGGCGGCUUACUGGACGAUUACUGACGCUGAGGCUCGAAAGCGUGGGGAGCAAACAG
rnacentral:rRNA from 1 species